CAUUUCCAUUAAUUAAGAAUAUUGUAAAUAGAAAAAAAAAUGCGUUUAUUUAAAAUUGAAAUUCUAUUCUUUUAGAUAUGGUACUAUAACCUAAGGAACCAUCUAAAAAAGUUUGAUUCUUUGGAUGCCAAAGGUUUUAUCCCCCUAUGAAAUGCUGCAGAUAUCAACAGUUGUGCACUUCUCAAAAAGUUGUAUGUUAAAUUCUGUUGAGUGCUGACUGCCUUAAGAUUGUUUGGCCUAGCAUGUCCUCUUGGUUAUCUGUGUACCAUGUUUGUUAGAAUCAUCAAAAUGAUAAGCUUACACUGACUAUUGCUUUGACUGGUGGUGCCCAAACGUUUUGAUAGGUGGAAAAACUGCAUAUAAAUCAUAGAUGGGUUAGGCUCAUAUUUUGUAUAUUACAUAUGUAGAAAAAGUAAGUCUGUCUCUAUCAAUCAUAAGAGAUGUUUCAAGUAACUGCACACCAUGUUGACGUGUGCUGAGCCCAAUUGGUUCACAAUUUACGGUUUGGGCACCACUGGUUUUGACUGUUUUGGUGAUGAUUAUUUUUAAUUUCACCAUCUUUCGACUGAUUAUUAUUAGAUGAUAAAGUAUUUCUGAUUUUUAUUGAUGAUUAUGCACAGCUUCUUACAUAAAUAAGUUUUUUAUAGAAAUUUUUCAUUUUCAGGAAAUUUUUUAAGAAGAAACAGAAUCAAAUAGGAGUGUCGAAAUUCCCCAAUUUGGAUUAUGUUUGAGUCUGUCUCUGAGAAUAGAAAAAAA